rnacentral:tRNA from 2 species
GGUUCAGUGGUCUAGUGGUUAUGAUUUCUGUCUUACACACAGAAGGUCUCCAGUUCGAACCUGGACUGAACCA